UGCUGUGGAUGAUGAGAAAAAGAAAUUUACAGUUAUCCCUGUCUGACUCAUGGAUGCUGACAAUUUGUAAUCUGACACAGCU